UGGGGAAUUUUGGACAAUGGGGGAAACCCUGAUCCAGCCAUCCCGCGUGUGCGAUGAAGGCCUUCGGGUUGUAAAGCACUUUUGGCAGGAAAGAAACGUCGCGGGUUAAUACCCCGCGAAACUGACGGUACCUGUAGAAUAAGCACCGGCUAACUACGUGCCAGCAGCCGCGGUAAUACGUAGGGUGCAAGCGUUAAUCGGAAUUACUGGGCGUAAAGCGUGCGCAGGCGGUUCGGAAAGAAAGAUGUGAAAUCCCAGAGCUUAACUUUGGAACUGCAUUUUUAACUACCGGGCUAGAGUGUGUCAGAGGGAGGUGGAAUUCCGCGUGUAGCAGUGAAAUGCGUAGAUAUGCGGAGGAACACCGAUGGCGAAGGCAGCCUCCUGGGAUAACACUGACGCUCAUGCACGAAAGCGUGGGGAGCAAACAGGAUUAGAUACCCUGGUAGUCCACGCCCUAAAACGAUGUCAACUAGCUGUUGGGGCCUUCGGGCCUUGGUAGCGCAGCUAACGCGUGAAGUUGACCGCCU
rnacentral:rRNA from 1 species